AAGGGAAAGAGAGAAAGACAUGGAUUUGUUGUUCCACUCAUUUAUGCAUUCAUUUGUUGCUUCUUGUAUAUGUUCUGACCAGGGCUUGAACCUGCAACCUUGGCAUAUCAUGACAAUGCUCUACCAAUUGAGCUACCUAGACAGGGUGAUAUCAGCUUAAUUUUAAGUUGAUCAAGUACACACACACACACACACACACACACACACAUCCUUUUAUUGUGAUUCAGAUUCUACAUUUCAAUCCAUCUCAGAGUUCAUGGGAAGUGGGAGAUUCAAGAUAGCCCAUUCGUCUUUUUUUCUCUAGUUUUAUGUCUUCCCCUCUCUAGUUUUCCCUUUUGAGACUGCUAUUAAUUUCUUCCCCUCACAAGUGACACCAUAGCGUCAUGAUCCUUUUACCUCGAUGCCAUAACUAGUUGGCACAAUCUUUUUUGGUUGGCCCACAGAGUAGUAUCUUAGUUUUUGGUUUAAUUGCCAAGAAUUAAAAAUCAAGAAUUUAAAAAUUUUAAACACUGUUUUUUCUUGAUGACUUUCUUUGGGUAUAGACUGUAGCAGUGAACAAGCCAGAAGAAUGUGCAAAGGCUAUUGUACUUGAACUUUAGUCUCUGAGGUGGCCACCGACUCACCUCUGUGAGCAAUCUCAUAUUAUAUUUGUUUUAACACUAAAACUUCAGUGUGUUUUGGAUUGUGGUCAAGUCAAAGAAAGUUGAGUCACUCAGCAACCACAAAGUCAAUAAAUGUUGGCAAAAA